rnacentral:lncRNA from 1 species
GAGAGAGAGAGAGAGAGAGAGAGAGAUUUUUAAUUUAAAUUUUAAUUUUUAAAAUUUAUAAUUUAGUUUUUUAAAAUUUAAAUUUAUAAUUUUAAAUUAUAAAUUUUAAUGUUUAAAUUAUAAAUUUGAUAUUUGUAAUUUUUAAAUUUUAAAUUUAAUUUUUUAGAUUUAAAAUUUAAAAUUUUAUAUUUUAUGUCUUUCAAAUUUAAAUUUGAUCUUAAAUUUAAAAUUUGAUAUUUAAAAUUAAAUUUUGAAAAUUAUAAGUUUUAAUUUUAAUUUCAAAUUUAAAAAUUUAAAAAUUAAAAAUUUUAAUUUAAAAUUAUUAGUUUAAAAUGUUAAAUUCAAUUAUAGAGGUAAAAUUAUUAUUUUCUAUCUAUAACUACCAACUAUUCCACCUUAUACUCAAAUUUUCAUCCAAACAUAAUUUUUCUAGUUCCAGCUUAUACUCAUAUUUUUAUCUAAAUAAAAAAAUACUUUUGUUUCUACGAAAAUUCAUUCUUGUACCUAUUUUCGGUAUAAUUAGUUCUUACUUAUAUUCCAACCAAACGGAGCCUAAAAGUACAAAAGGUUUUCAGGGUUUU